GAAACCGUGUGCCUACAAGUAGUUAGAGCCCGUUAAUGGGUGAUAGCGUGCCUUUUGUAGAAUGAACCGGCGAGUUACGAUUUGUUGCAAGGUUAAGCGGAAAAAGCGGAGCCGUAGCGAAAGCGAGUCUGAAUAGGGCGCAUAAGUAACAGGUCGUAGACCCGAAACCAGGUGAUCUACCCAUGUCCAGGAUGAAGGUAAGGUAAUACUUACUGGAGGUCCGAACCCACGCACGUUGAAAAGUGCGGGGAUGAGGUGUGGGUAGCGGAGAAAUUCCAAUCGAACUUGGAGAUAGCUGGUUCUCUCCGAAAUAGCUUUAGGGCUAGCCUCGAGGUAAAGAGUCAUGGAGGUAGAGCACUGUUUGGACUAGGGGCCCUUCUCGGGUUACCGAAUUCAGAUAAACUCCGAAUGCCAUGUACUUAUACUCGGGAGUCAGACUGCGAGUGAUAAGAUCCGUAGUCGAAAGGGAAACAGCCCAGACCACCAGUUAAGGUCCCCAAAUAUAUGUUAAGUGGAAAAGGAUGUGGGGUUGCUUAGACAACCAGGAUGUUGGCUUAGAAGCAGCCACCAUUGAAAGAGUGCGUAAUAGCUCACUGGUCGAGUGACCCCGCGCCGAAAAUGUACCGGGGCUAAACAUAUUACCGAAACUGUGGAUGAACCUCUUUAGAGGUUCGUGGUAGGAGAGCGUUCUAAGGGCGGUGAAGUCAGACCGGAAGGACUGGUGGAGCGCUUAGAAGUGAGAAUGCCGGUAUGAGUAGCGAAAGAAGGGUGAGAAUCCCUUCCACCGAAUAUCUAAGGUUUCCUGAGGAAGGCUCGUCCGCUCAGGGUUAGUCGGGACCUAAGCCGAGGCCGAUAGGCGUAGGCGAUGGACAACAGGUAGAGAUUCCUGUACCAGUGCUAAUUGUUUAACCGAUGGGGUGACACAGAAGGAUAGGGAAUCGCACGAAUGGAAAUGUGCGUCCAAGCAGUGAGUGUGAGAAGUAGGCAAAUCCGCUUCUCGCGAAGCAUGAGCUGUGAUGGGGAAGGAAAUUAAGUACGGAAGUUCCUGAUUUCACGCUGUCAAGAAAAGCCUCUAGGAAGAGUAGUACUGCCCGUACCGCAAACCGACACAGGUAGAUGAGGAGAGAAUCCUAAGGUGAGCGAGAGAACUCUCGUUAAGGAACUCGGCAAAAUGACCCCGUAACUUCGGGAGAAGGGGUGCUCUAUUAGGGUGCAAGCCCGAGAGAGCCGCAGUGAAUAGGCCCAGGCGACUGUUUAGCAAAAACACAGGUCUCUGCAAAACCGUAAGGUGACGUAUAGGGGCUGACGCCUGCCCGGUGCUGGAAGGUUAAGAGGAGUGCUUAGCUUCGGCGAAGGUACGAAUUGAAGCCCCAGUAAACGGCGGCCGUAACUAUAACGGUCCUAAGGUAGCGAAAUUCCUUGUCGGGUAAGUUCCGACCCGCACGAAAGGCGCAACGAUCUGGGCACUGUCUCAACGAGAGACUCGGUGAAAUUAUAGUACCUGUGAAGAUGCAGGUUACCCGCGACAGGACGGAAAGACCCCGUGGAGCUUUACUGCAACCUGAUAUGGAAUGUUUGUACCGCUUGUACAGGAUAGGUAGGAGCCGAAGAGACGUGUGCGCUAGCAUACGAGGAGGCAAUGGUGGGAUACUACCCUGGCUGUAUGACCAUUCUAACCCGCCACGCUUAGCGCGUGGGGAGACAGUGUCAGGUGGGCAGUUUGACUGGGGCGGUCGCCUCCUAAAGAGUAACGGAGGCGCCCAAAGGUUCCCUCAGAAUGGAUGGAAAUCAUUCGCAGAGUGUAAAGGCACAAGGGAGCUUGACUGCGAGACUGACAAGUCGAGCAGGGACGAAAGUCGGGCUUAGUGAUCCGGUGGUUCCGCAUGGAAGGGCCAUCGCUCAACGGAUAAAAGCUACCCCGGGGAUAACAGGCUUAUCUCCCCCAAGAGUCCACAUCGACGGGGAGGUUUGGCACCUCGAUGUCGGCUCGUCGCAUCCUGGGGCUGUAGUCGGUCCCAAGGGUUGGGCUGUUCGCCCAUUAAAGCGGCACGCGAGCUGGGUUCAGAACGUCGUGAGACAGUUCGGUCCCUAUCCGUCGCGGGCGCAGGAAAUUUGAGAGGAGCUGUCCUUAGUACGAGAGGACCGGGAUGGACACACCGCUGGUGUACCAGUUGUUCCGCCAGGAGCAUCGCUGGGUAGCUAUGUGUGGCAGGGAUAAACGCUGAAAGCAUCUAAGCGUGAAGCCCCCCUCAAGAUGAGAUUUCCCAUUUCUUCGGAAAGUAAGAUCCCUGAAAGAUGAUCAGGUAGAUAGGUUUGGAGUGGAAGUGUAGCGAUA
rnacentral:rRNA from 1 species